UACGAAGGGGGCUAGCGUUGUUCGGAUUUACUGGGCGUAAAGCGCACGUAGGCGGAUCGUUAAGUCGGGGGUGAAAUCCUGGAGCUCAACUCCAGAACUGCCUUCGAUACUGGGAGUCUCGAGUUCGGGAGAGGUGAGUGGAACUGCGAGUGUAAGAGGUGAAAUUCGUAGAUAUUCGCAAGAACACCAGUGGCGAAAGGCGGCUCACUGGCUCGGUACUGACGCUGAGGUGCGAAAGCGUGGGGAGCAAACAGG
rnacentral:rRNA from 1 species